CCUACGGGAGGCUGCAGUGAGGAAUAUUGGUCAAUGGACGAGAGUCUGAACCAGCCAAGUAGCGUGAAGGAUGACUGCCCUAUGGGUUGUAAACUUCUUUUAUAUGGGAAUAAAACGUUCCACGUGUGGGAUUUUGUAUGUACCAUAUGAAUAAGGAUCGGCUAACUCCGUGCCAGCAGCCGCGGUAAUACGGAGGAUCCGAGCGUUAUCCGGAUUUAUUGGGUUUAAAGGGAGCGUAGGUGGAUUGUUAAGUCAGUUGUGAAAGUUUGCGGCUCAACCGUAAAAUUGCAGUUGAAACUGGCAGUCUUGAGUACAGUAGAGGUGGGCGGAAUUCGUGGUGUGGCGGUGAAAUGCUUAGAUAUCACGAAGAACUCCGAUUGCGAAGGCAGUUCACUGGACUGCAACUGACACUGAGGCUCGAAAGUGUGGGUAUCAAACAGGAUUAGAUACCCCUGUAGUC
rnacentral:rRNA from 1 species